CAGCCUGAGGAGCAGCAGGCAUUUGGUAAAUAAAUAAAUAAUGGAGAAUAAUGGAGUGAUGAAUCUUUGCACCUCAGGGCAACACUAGGACAAUGUGAAGAGCCUCGGGAUAGACUUCAGGUUUUGAGAUGCCUCCAAGAAUGAUCCAGCCUCUACAGACAGACCACCUCAAACGGAUUCAGGAAGAAGGAGCAGCAUAAGGAAAGGCCCUUGCCAGACACCAAAUAUGCCAAGACCUUGGCUGUGGACUUCAGAGCUCCAGAACUACAAAACAAUAAAUUUCUCCUGAUUAUAAAUUA